YGACUMUCGGCAACGGAUAUCUCGGCUCUCGCCACGAUGAAGAAUSUAGCGAAAUGCGAUACUUAGUGUGAAUUGCAGAAUCCCGUGAAUSAUCAAGUCUUUGAACGCAAGUUGCGCCCGAGGCCUSGGCCAAGGGCACGUYUGCUUGGGCKUCGCA
rnacentral:rRNA from 1 species